rnacentral:lncRNA from 1 species
GGGUUUGUUGUCUCCAUCUUGAACUUGGGCUGAAGUGUCUGAAGCCCACAGAGAAGUGGAACAGGCCUCCAGAGUAUUUGUUGUACUGAGGCCCACGUCAGCUUCUAGGUUUUGUUUCAUAAAACCUGAGUAUAAAAGAAGAUCGCGUUGGUGACUUGAGGUGCGCGGCAACAACAACAGAUUGAGAGGUUCAGGUGAAAGAGCAAAUUGUCUUGGUUGAGAGAUCGUUUGUGUUUACCUGAAGGCUAAGUUCAAUCAGAAGAAGAGAGCUAGGUGUUUAGCUCUUGAUUAAGCUUUGGCGUUUAUAAGUUUAAGGUCACAACCCUUUUAUUAAUUCUUUCUCUUUGAGUUAGUGAAUUGGAAGACUCUGUUCUUCCCCCAGACGUACCUUCACGGGAACUGGGUAAACAAACUUGCUGUGUCUUAUCUCCUACAUACAAACAAACAGAACACAAGUUAGUAUUGAGGUUAAUCGAUCAAGUAACAUAGCUAAACGAAUUCUAGCUAAAGGAACGAAGGUUUAACAUAGUAAAUCGACGUUUAAACCUUACAAGUGGUAUCAGAGCUCUCAGGUUAGGUUUAUAAAAGAACGGUUUCAGCGGUCUCAGCUGCGUUCUGGUGGUUAUUAAACCUAGACUUUAGCUGGUGUUGAUUUCACGAUUGUUAGUGAGAUCAUGAAGAAGUCUAAAGUCAAAAUUGAGGUGGAAAAGUUUGAUGGAAAAGGAGAUUUUGGAAUGUGGAAAUUCAAGAUGCAGAUGCAACUUGAGAAUGCUGAUCUUGACAGUGUGCUUAAUGAAGAAGACACUAGUUCUACAUCAGAGAAAGACAAGGAUGGUGAUAAGGAGACUAAACCCGGUACAGGGGUUCUUACUCGGAAAGAGAUGGACAAGCGUGCUAAAAACAUGAUUUGUGCUAGUCUUGGAAAUCUGGUGCUACGAAAGGUUAUGAAACAGACUACUGCACUAGGGGUAUGGAAAGCACUAGAAAAGGACUACCAAACUAAGACAUUACCUAACAGAAUCUACUUAAAACAACGGUUCGCUAGUUUCAAGAUGGAAGAGCAUCGAAGUAUAGAAGAAAACCUCGAUGGUUUCUUGAGGUUGGUAGAUGAUCUGGAAAGCUUGAACAUCACAAUCAGCGAUGAAGAUCAAGCAAUACAGGUUCUGUCAAGCUUGCCCAAGCAGUUUGAUUCUUUAGUACAUACUCUCAAGUACGGGAACGGCAAAGAAACUCUGACACUGCAAGAAGUUACCUC